rnacentral:rRNA from 1 species
AGUGAACGCUGGCGGUAGGCCUAACACAUGCAAGUCGAACGGCAGCACAGUAAGAGCUUGCUCUUACGGGUGGCGAGUGGCGGACGGGUGAGGAAUACAUCGGAAUCUACUUUUUCGUGGGGGAUAACGUAGGGAAACUUACGCUAAUACAGCAUACGCCCUACGGGUGAAAGCAGGGGAUCUUCGGACCUUGCGCGAUUGAACGAGCCGAUGUCGGAUUAGUUAGUUGGCGGGGUAAAGGCCCACCAAGGCGACGAUCCGUAGCUGGUCUGAGAGGAGGGUCAGCCACACUGGAACUGAGACACGGUCACUGCGCCUACGGGAGGCAGCAGUGUGGAAUAUUGGGCAAUGGGCGCAAGCCUUAUCCAGCCAUACAGCGUGUGAUAAGAAGGCCUUCGGGUUGUAAAGCCCUUUUGUUGGGAAAGAAAAUCAGCAGGUUAAUACCCCGCUGUUCUGACGGUACCCAAAGAAUAAGCGCCGGCUAACUUCGUG